AUAGCCCAGCUUAAGUCUCUAAGGGAAACAGUAGGAAAACCAUUAUCUUCAACCGAGGAAUGCCUACAAGCCCCUUCCUUCAUUACUAUAAGUUCCUUUCUGUGUUGUCCAUCUCCCCAUCAAUCCCCCAGUCAAGUGUUCCAUGUCUGCCUCCUUUGGCUAUUAGAUAAGAAAUUAUAACAAUAUGCAGUAUCAUUAGAGUUUUCCUUUAACUGUUUCAUUAACU
rnacentral:lncRNA from 1 species